GUAUUGGCUAAUGUGUCUUGGCUAAGGUGUCUUGGCUAAUGUGUCUUGGCUAAUGUGUCUUGGCUAAUGUGUCUUGGCUAAGGUGUCUUGGCUAAUGUGUCUUGGCUAAUGUGUCUUGGCUAAGGUGUCUUGGCUAAUGUGUCUUGGCUAAGGUGUCUUGGCUAAUGUAUCUUGGCUAAGGUGUCUUGGCUAAGGUGUCUUGGCUAAGGUGUCUUGGCUAAUGUGUCUUGGCUAAUGUGUCUUGGCUAUUUUGUCUUGGCUAAGGUGUCUUGGCUAAUGUGUCUUGGCUAAUGUGUCUUGGCUAAGGUGUCUUGGCUAAUGUGUCUUGGCUAAUGUGUCUUGGCUAAUGUGUCUUGGCUAAGGUGUCUUGGCUAAUGUGUCUCGGCUAAGGUGUCUUGGCUAAUGUGUCUUGGCUAAGGUGUCUUGGCUAAGGUGUCUUGGCUAAGGUGUCUUGGCUAAUGUGUCUUGGCUAAUGUGUCUUGGCUAAUGUGUCUUGGCUAAGGUGUCUUGGCUAAUGUAUCUUGGCUAUUGUGUCUUGGCUAAUGUGUCUCGGCUAAUGUGUCUUGGCUAAUGUGUCUUGGCUAAUGUGUCUUGGCUAAGGUGUAUCGGCUAAUGUGUCUUGGCUAAUGUGUCUUGGCUAAG